GAUGAACGCUAGCGAUAGGCUUAACACAUGCAAGUCGAGGAGCAGCACAAGGUAGCUUGCUAUCUGGGUGGCGACCGGCGCACGGGUGCGUAACGCGUAUGCAACUUGCCCUAUACAGGAGGAUAACCCGUCGAAAGACGGACUAAUACUGCGUAUGCUCACAACUUGGCAUCAAGUGGUGAGGAAAGAAAUUCGGUAUAGGAUAGGCAUGCGUCCCAUUAGCUUGUUGGUGAGGUAACGGCUCACCAAGGCAACGAUGGGUAGGGGAACUGAGAGGUUUAUCCCCCACACUGGUACUGAGACACGGACCAGACUCCUACGGGAGGCAGCAGUGAGGAAUAUUGGUCAAUGGGCGCGAGCCUGAACCAGCCAAGUCGCGUGAAGGAUGACUGUCUUAUGGAUUGUAAACUUCUUUUAUACGGGAAUAACAAGAGUCACGUGUGACUCCCUGCAUGUACCGUAUGAAUAAGCAUCGGCUAACUCCGUG
rnacentral:rRNA from 1 species